rnacentral:lncRNA from 1 species
GAGUAUGAAAACGGAGAUAAAAUGAGUGAAAGCUAAGGUGUGAUAACAUCCUUUGCCAUAUGAAGUUAAGAAAUAGUGGCAGCUGGUGGCUUCCUUCUCAGUGGGAAAGUAACUGCUCUGGUUUUAGUCUAGACUUUAAAGUAACUACACCGCAUACUGGAUCCAAUACCCCAAAUAGGUUCAGUACUUUAGUGAACUUCUUUAAAGUUCAGACUGAAUCCCAAAGCCAAUUCACCACCUCACUGACAUAGAAACCACCACUAGAAAUUCUGUAUAUUUUAAGGACUUUUAGCAUAGUAGGAACAGAAGCAAAGAAACAUUGGAUGGGAGUCAAAAUCCCCUAAACAAACACAGGUCCAUCUUCCUAAAGGACACAUGAGCAUACCACCCAUAGACAGAGCCAGACAGUGUACUAUCCACAAAUGACUUGCACAGAGACCUACAGUUCAGAUAUCAUCCAUUGUUUUAAAAAGAAAGAAAACAUUCCAAGGGACUUAAUUAUUCUUUCCUUUGCUAAAAAGCUUUUCAAGGAAAACUCACAGUGGUGCUUUUUCAUGUUGUGCAUGUAGCAUUCUUCCUGCACAGAUUGUGUUUACAAAACGGUUGUGUGGAUCAGUUAUUAGGAGGACAUGGCACUUGUGAUGUGGUUUUCUUAAUGCAACACACAUCUUGAUGUUCGGCAACUAUUGGAGCUUUGUUACAACCGCAUUCAAUCCUUAUAAAGAGAGAUGGUUGAAGGGAAAGGGAUGACAGAUGGAAGGACAUUCAAGUUGUUGGCCAGGAGAUGGCCCAUAAAUGCUCAGUCAGGUACUAUCCAGCCCCCUCCUACCUAAAACAGUCUCUCUCUAUACCUACAGCUGGAGGAAAAGUGGAUUUUGAUGACUUUGUGGAGCUGAUGGGUCCCAAGAUGCUGGCAGAGACUGCAGACAUGAUUGGGAUGAAAGAACUACGGGAUGCCUUCCGUGAGGCUUUCUAAGGAAUACUCAGAGGUGGUUUAGCCUUCCUCUGAAAUAUAGCCUACAGCAUCUGGGAUCUGUUGGUGAUAUGCCAUCCAAAUACAUAUCACUUAGAUCCUCUGGGUGGCAUUUACUCCAGCCUGCCAGAACUCUACUGGCAACUGUCAUCCAGAGGACCUUUUCAUCGGCUGCCUCGAGACUGUGAAAUGACCUGCUGGAAGAGCUCCAACAGCUAGCAAAGCAGCAGCCAGAAUUUAAAACACAACUUAAGAACUAUCUCUUACAGCAGGCCUACUCAGUCAAUUUUAACUUGUGAAUUGUAACCUGCAUUUUAUCAGUAAAUUUUAAUCUGCAUGUUGUGUGUAUAUUUGUUAUAUCUCUUUUAAUAGUGUUCUGUUUAUUUCAUUAUUUUAAUCAUGUUGUACCCGGCUUGAGCCGCGAGGAGAGGCAGGGAAUAAUUACAUCAUCAUCAUCAUCAUCAUCAUCAUCAUCAUCAUCAUCAUCAGGGUUAACCCUUCUUAACGUCUAAGAUCAGA